GCUUAUGACCAUACCACCCUUAAAGCGCCCGAUUUUGACUGAUCUCGGAAGCUAAGCAGGGACGGGCCUGGUUAGUACCUGGAUGGGAGACCGCUUGGGAAUACCAGGUGUUGUAGGCU
rnacentral:rRNA from 1 species